rnacentral:rRNA from 1 species
GAUGAACGCUGGCGGCGUGCCUAAUACAUGCAAGUCGAGCGAAUGGAUUAAGAGCUUGCUCUUAUGAAGUUAGCGGCGGACGGGUGAGUAACACGUGGGUAACCUGCCCAUAAGACUGGGAUAACUCCGGGAAACCGGGGCUAAUACCGGAUAACAUUUUGAACCGCAUGGUUCGAUAUUGAAAGGCGGCUUCGGCUGUCACUUAUGGAUGGACCCGGGUCUCACUAGCUAGUUGGGGAGGUAACUGCUCACCAAGGCAACGUUGCGUAGCAGACCUGAGAGGGUGAUGGGCCAAGCUGGGACUGAGAAACGGCCCAGACUCCUACGGGAGGCAGCAGUAGGGAAUCUUCCGCAAUGGACGAAAGUCUGACGGAGGAACGCCGCGUGAGUGAUGAAGGCUUUCGGGUCGUAAAACUCUGUUGUUAGGGAAGAACAAGUGCUAGUUGAAUAAGCUGGCACCUUGACGGUACCUAACCAGAAAGCCACGGCUAACUACGUGCCAGCCGCCGCGGUAA